rnacentral:tRNA from 1 species
GACUUUAGUUAAAUUUAUAACAAGGGCUUGUCGAGUCUUAAUUACUCAAUUAGUAAGUCUUA